rnacentral:rRNA from 1 species
GAUGAACGCUAGCGACAGGCUUAACACAUGCAAGUCGAGGGGCAGCGCGGUGGUAGCAAUACUACUGGCGGCGACCGGCGCACUGGUGAGUAACACGUAUGCGACCUGCCCCGGACAGGGGGAUAAACCCGGGAAACUGGGCCUAAUACCCCAUACGCCCAUUGAUCGCAUGGUCAGCGGGUGAAAGAUCCGUCGGUCCGGGAUGGGCAUGCGGCGCAUUAGCUGGUUGGCGGGGCAACGGCCCACCAAGGCGACGAUGCGUAGGGGUUCUGAGAGGAAGGUCCCCCACACUGGUACUGAGACACGGACCAGACUCCUACGGGAGGCAGCAGUGAGGAAUAUUGGUNCAUGGACGGUAGUCUGAACCCAGCCAGUCGCGUGCGGGAUGAAGGCCCUCCGGGUCGUAAACCGCUUUAGCCGGGGAGUAACGUGGGGGACGCGUCCCUCAGUGAGAGUACCCGGAGAAUAAGCAUCGGCUAACUCCGUGCCAGCAGCCGCGGUAAUACGGAGGAUGCGAGCGUUAUCCGGAUUUAUUGGGUUUAAAGGGUGCGCAGGCGGCAGGUCAAGUCAGCGGUAAAAUCUCGGCGCUCAACGCCGUUCGGCCGUUGAAACUGUCCGGCUCGAGUGCGUGGGAGGAUGGCGGAAUGCGCGGUGUAGCGGUGAAAUGCAUAGAUAUCGCGCAGAACCCCGAUUGCGAAGGCAGCUGUCCACCACGCCACUGACGCUUCCUGCACGAAAGCGUGGGUAAUCGAACAGGAAUGAGGAACCUUGGCCUGAAUGAUGCAGGAGUCCAAG